rnacentral:rRNA from 1 species
AUGCGCUGCUUGCUUGCAUUGCACGGGCGCAAUUUGAUUAUCAAGAGAAAGAACAGAUCCCCAUUUGCUUGGCAACUGAGUGCAGUACUGCAUUUCCUUUAUCAAGAUCAAGGAGGAGUGAGAAUGACAGGCAGCCAUGGAGCAGCAACUCAAGGUCAAGCCCUCCAUGUACGAUUCAAUCAAGAUCAAGGUUUGGUCUUCGGCCCUCUGUUGCAGCAUGUGCCGCUCAACAUGACCUGUAGAACACUGAAUGGAUGCACAAGAAAAGGAAAAAGGCAGCAAGGAGGGAGAGGAUAUUUUAGUAAGGAGCUGUGGUACACAUGCAUAUUGAGCCUAGGUACACAGAUGACUCAUCAAUCGAAGCUUGCUACAGGUGAAAUUGUGACGUAA